rnacentral:rRNA from 1 species
CAGUAGCCGCGUAAUACGUAGGUGGCAAGCGUUGUCCGGAAUUAUUGGGCGUAAAGGGCUCGCAGGCGGUUUCUUAAGUCUGAUGUGAAAGCCCCCGGCUCAACCGGGGAGGGUCAUUGGAAACUGGGAAACUUGAGUGCAGAAGAGGAGAGUGGAAUUCCACGUGUAGCGGUGAAAUGCGUAGAGAUGUGGAGGAACACCAGUGGCGAAGGCGACUCUCUGGUCUGUAACUGACGCUGAGGAGCGAAAGCGUGGGAGCGAACAGGAUUAGAUACCCCAGUAGUCCCUGUCUCUUAUACAC